AGUGAACGCUGGCGGUAGGCCUAACACAUGCAAGUCGAACGGCAGCACAGGAGAGCUUGCUCUCUGGGUGGCGAGUGGCGGACGGGUGAGGAAUACAUCGGAAUCUACUCUGUCGUGGGGGAUAACGUAGGGAAACUUGCGCUAAUACCGCAUACGACCUACGGGUGAAAGCAGGGGAUCUUCGGACCUUGCGCGAUUGAAUGAGCCGAUGUCGGAUUAGCUAGUUGGCGGGGUAAAGGCCCACCAAGGAGACGAUCCGUAGCUGGUCUGAGAGGAUGAUCAGCCACACUGGAGCUGAGACACGGACCAGACUCCUACGGGAGGCAGCAGUGGGGAAUAUUGGACAAUGGGCGCAAGCCUGAUCCAGCCAUACCGCGUGGGUGAAGAAGGCCUUCGGGUUGUAAAGCCCUUUUGUUGGGAAAGAAAUCCAGCUGGCUAAUACCCGGUUGGGAUGACGGUACCCAAAGAAUAAGCACCGGCUAACUUCGUGCCAGCAGCCGCGGUAA
rnacentral:rRNA from 1 species